rnacentral:rRNA from 1 species
UGGGGAAUAUUGGGCAAUGGGCGCAAGCCUGACCCAGCAACGCCGCGUGAAGGAAGAAGGCUUUCGGGUUGUAAAACUUCUUUUCUCAGGGACGAAGCAAGUGACGGUACCUGAGGAAUAAGCCACGGCUAACUACGUGCCAGCAGCCGCGUAAUCUCGAUCU